CCUACGGGAUGCAGCAGUGGGGAAUAUUGCACAAUGGGCGCAAGCCUGAUGCAGCCAAGCCGCGUGUAUGAAGAAGGCCUUCGGGUUGUAAAGUACUUUCAGCGGGGAGGAAGGUGUUGUGGUUAAUAACCACAGCAAUUGACGUUACCCGCAGAAGAAGCACCGGCUAACUCCGUGCCAGCAGCCGCGGUAAUACGGAGGGUGCAAGCGUUAAUCGGAAUUACUGGGCGUAAAGCGCACGCAGGCGGUCUGUUAAGUCAGAUGUGAAAUCCCCGGGCUUAACCUGGGAACUGCAUUUGAAACUGGCAGGCUUGAGUCUCAUAGAGGGGGGUAGAAUUCCAGGUGUAGCGGUGAAAUGCGUAGAGAUCUGGAGGAAUACCGGUGGCGAAGGCGGCCCCCUGGACGAAGACUGACGCUCAGGUGCGAAAGCGUGGGGAGCAAACAGGAUUAGAUACCCCGGUAGUC
rnacentral:rRNA from 1 species